rnacentral:rRNA from 1 species
AUACGGAGGAUGCGAGCGUUAUCCGGAUUUAUUGGGUUUAAAGGGAGCGCAGGCGGAGAUGCAAGCGUGACGUCAAAUUUCGGGGCUCAACCCCGUCUCGCGUCGCGAACUGCGUCCCUUGGUUGCGGGAAGGGGAGGCGGAACUCGUGGUGUAGCGGUGAAAUGCAUAGAUAUCACGAAGAACUCCGAUCGCGAAGGCAGCCUUCCGGCCCGUCAACGACGCUCAUGCUCGAAGGUGCGGGUAUCAAACAGGAUUAGAUACCCUGGUAGUCCGCACAGUAAACGAUGGACACCCGCGGUUUGGCCUAUAUGGCUGAGCCGCCAAGCGAAAGCGUUAAGUGUCCCACCUGGGGAGUACGCCGGCAACGGUGAAACUCAAAGGAAUUGACGGGG